AGUAUCAAGCAGAGGGCAAGUCUGGUGCCAGCAGCCGCGGUAAUUCCAGCUCUGCAAAUACAUAGAAUUAUUGCUGCGGUUAGAAAGCUCAUAGUUGGAUUCGUAUCGAUACCUUGGAACCCUUCGGGUGUCUCUAGGUGUUAUCGAUUUAUCGUAAUGUUCGGUUUUGAGUCCUUAACAGGAUUCUUAACAGGCAUUGCAAGUUUACUUUGAACAAAUCAGAGUGCUUCAAACAGGCGUUUUCGCUUGAAUGAUCGUGCAUGGAAUAAUAGAAAAUGAUUUCGGUUCAGUUUUAUUGGUUUUACGGACUGAGAUAAUGGUUAACAGAGACAAACGGGGGCAUUUGUAUGGUCCCGUGAGAGGUGAAAUUCUUGGACCGUGGCCAGACAAACUACAGCGAAAGCAUUUGCCAAGAAUGUUUUUAUUAAUCAAGAACGAAAGUCAGAGGUUCGAAGGCGAUCAGAUACCGCCCUAGUUCUGACCGUAAACGAUGCCAACUAGCGAUCCGCCGAUGG
rnacentral:rRNA from 1 species